rnacentral:rRNA from 1 species
GACAGAGGUGCCGAGCGUUAGGCGGAAUCACUGGGCUUAAAGCGUGUGUAGGCGGACGUCUAAGUACCUUGUGAAAUCCCACGGCUCAACCGUGGAACUGCUCGGUAUACUGGUCGUCUUGAGCCACUUAGGGGCAGUCGGAACAGACGGUGGAGCGGUGAAAUGCGUAGAUAUCGGAAGGAACAUCAGUGGCGAAAGCGACUUCCUGGUCCAGCAUCGACGUUCAGGCACGAAAGCGUGGGAGCAAACAGG